UACCAGCACCCCGAGUGGUCGGGACGAUUAUUGGGCCUAAAGCAUCCGUAGCCGGUCCUACAAGUCUUCCGUUAAAUCCACCUGCUUAACAGAUGGGCUGCGGAAGAUACUAUAGGGCUAGGAGGCGGGAGAGGCAAGCGGUACUCAGUGGGUAGGGGUAAAAUCCUCUGAUCCAUUGAAGACCACCAGUGGCGAAGGCGGCUUGCCAGAACGCGCU
rnacentral:rRNA from 1 species